rnacentral:rRNA from 1 species
GAUGAACGCUGGCGGCGUGCCUAAUACAUGCAAGUCGAGCGAACGGACGAGAAGCUUGCUUCUCUGAUGUUAGCGGCGGACGGGUGAGUAACACGUGGAUAACCUACCUAUAAGACUGGGAUAACUUCGGGAAACCGUAGCUAAUACCGGAUAAUAUUUUGAACCGCAUGGUUCAAAAGUGAAAGACGGUCUUGCUGUCACUUAUAGAUGGAUCCGCGCUGCAUUAGCUAGUUGGUAAGGUAACGGCUUACCAAGGCAACGAUGCAUAGCCGACCUGAGAGGGUGAUCGGCCACACGGGAACGGAGACACGGUCCAGACUCCUAAGGGAGGGAGCAGUAGGGAAUCUUCCGCAAUGGGCGAAAGCCUGACGGAGCAACGGCGCGUGAGUGAUGGAGGUCUUCGGAUCGUAAAAACCUGUUAUUAGGGAAGAACAUAUGUGGAAGGAAAUGUGGACAUCUUGACGGUACCUAAUCAGAAAGCCACGGCUAACUACGUG